CCUGUGUUGAUAGAGUGGCUUUGUGUGCUAGGUGUCCUAUAGGGCCCAGUGGCUCAGCCUUCCCAAUUACUGAGGUGGACACUCGUGGUGCACCCCUUUAUGGGCUGUGCGCACACGUGAGAAGGAUU